ensembl:lncRNA
CCUGGUUCUGAACCGUACACAUCUCCUGCUUAAUUGUCCUCCUGUACCUCAAAUCUGCCUCUCCCACCGGCAGCACAAUCAGCUUCCACACCAGCAUGAAUCAGCUUUUCCACUGCGAAAGCAACAGCCUGCCAUAAAGUGUUUAAAUAGCCCACAAAAUCUUCCUUGAGCUGCCCGGUGGGAGUAGAGCUGCCCAUGCACACACACACACACACAGAGAUCUCUCCUCCACCUGCAUGUAUGAAAGGCUCACCUCCGUGUUUCAGAGAUUUCAUCACUUUUCUGUUAAUUGCAAUAUAAAACUUUACAUUUGAUAUGAAUAAAGACCAGAUAACCUGGCACUUUGGAUGAAUCCCCUUCGUCAUCACUGCUCCCUUCUUGGUUUUGGUUACCAGCUGGUGUGCAUCUGCAAAAUGGUCAUUCUGUCUCCCUUCCCUCCCAGAUAAUCCAUGAGUUUUCACAGUUUUAUUUAAAGCACUUUGUUCUGUUCUGUUUGUUUGUUUGCUUUAAGAGAAGCAAUGUUUUACUUUAACUGCUACUCUGAAGGCUACUUUGAGAGGCCUGACUCUCCAGUUUAAACAAAUAAUAUGUAAAUUCUAUGUUUCAUAUUUUUCAUUUUCACUAUUCUCACAAUUUACUGCUUCUUCAGCCUCCUUCAAUAAACUAGAAAACAAGCUGCUCUUUCUCUCUUAAAAGCAGAAACUACAACUAUAAGGUCUUCUUUGCUGUAAGAUGAUUUUUUGUAUCACCAAAUCUUUUGACCAACUACAACAGUUUCUAAACAAGAUCAGUACUGGUAUUUCUUACAAGCACAAUAGGAAUUUAGUUUUAAUUUACAACUCUUGGAGAUACUUCUUUUGUCAUGUAAGCUUUUAGACCUCAGAUAUAAACAUGUGUUCACUUGAAAAAAAGAUUUCUUUAUAACUUUUGUCAAUAUUCUGCUGAUUGCUAGUUCAGUACCAGAUGUGCUAUGCUUAAUGGUGCAUAUACAAGAAGCAUUCCCUAAUCCCUAAAUGAACUUCUUAUCUCUAAAUAUAUACAGGAUAAGCUAUCUAAACUCAAUUUAGCAACUAUGCUAUUAAAUCUACCAGAACCAAAGAGUGAAAGAAUAUUGUCAAUGCCAAGUGCCUGUUAGCAAAAAACAAAAAAAUCCUCCUGAAACAAAACAUGGCUAACCAUAGAUCAAAAUCAAUCAGACAUAGAUUAAUUUCUCCUAUCAGGGCAUCUUGAACCCCCACAUCUUCAUUUCAGAAGUGCAUACACCCAGUUUCAAAUGCCUCUCAUUUUAUUACCACCACACUCUGUCAGUCACAAUUUGCUGCACAGAAAUGAGUUGUCAUUAGAUCAGACUUUUAACUGUAUAUGAAUGCAGAUGGAUCCAUUAUGGGAUUUAGGAGGAGUGCACAAAAAAAAAAAAAAAGGUAUCAUCUCUUGGCUGGAUUGCUGCACCUGGAAGCAUCGCAGCACCAAUUCCCUUUGUGACCCUGGGACACAGGUUGAUACAGCACCUGGAUACCUUCACUGUUGAAACUACAGCAUUUUCACCUUCAUUCACAGCCAGACAGUCCAGCCUGGCCCAUCGAUUCCUCAGCAAUAACCCCUCCUGCCCCUGCACUGUGCAGAGGGGAAGGCAGGGGAUGCUGGGACAGAAGGGAAGAACGUCCCUUUAUGGUUCUGAUGUCCCUGACACCCCUAAUUUAAUGAUUCCUGACCCCAAAAAAACAAGAUACAUCUAUUUGAUUCCACACAAGGUUUCUUAGAAUACUUCACUAUCUCUGAAGGCAACAACAGCAAGAAAGUGCACAGGAAGAACGGACAAGUUACACUCAGGCCCACAAAAGAGAUGAUUCUGAUGUUUUCUGCCUAUUGGAUGUUACAUGCUGUGGUGGAUAACUCCAUGACAGUCCACACAGUUCUCUUCUACAUUCCCUGCACUACCUUAACCCCUCUUAUUUCUCCUUCCCUCAGCAUGAAGGGUGCCCAGUACCAGUUGUAUACGAGACCUUAAAAAUCCACUUUUUCAACCUUUGGGACUGAAAAGCAGCACAAGAACUUUAAGGUUUGCAGAGUUUGGUCUAAAGUACAACAAAAUGCUAAGCAAAAUGGUUGGCUGUCUUAGAAAAAGUUGCACCUGGAAGAACAGAUUCCCACGUCAGUACAAGAGGAGAGUUCUGGGUUGGAAUCAGAGAAAUGGAUGGAAAGUUGUCACAGAGGUGCACAUUAAAUAUGCAUUUAUGCAUUUUGUGGUAUGUGCCUAUGUUUUCCUCCAUUUUUGUUCAUGUUAUUGUCUUAUUACCUUGGAAGAAGUGUUACAAAAUCACUGCAU